GACGUAGGGUGCGAGCGUUGUCCGGAAUUAUUGGGCGUAAAGAGCUCGUAGGCGCUUGUUGCGUCGGCUGUGAAACCCGACGGGCUCAACCCGUGGGCUUGCAGCCGGAGUACGGGCAGGCUAGAGUUCGGGUAGGGGAGAGCUGGAAUUCCUGGUGUAGCGGUGAAAUGCGCAGGAUAAUCAGGAGGAACACCGGUGGCGAAGGGCGGGUCUCUGGGCCGAUGACUGACGCUGGAGGAGCGAAAGCGUGGGGAGCGAACAG
rnacentral:rRNA from 1 species